rnacentral:rRNA from 1 species
UAACGACUCUCGGCAACGGAUAUCCCGGCUCUCGCAUCGAUGAAGAACGUAGCGAAAUGCGAUACUUGGUGUGAAUUGCAGAAUCCCGUGAACCAUCGAGUUUUUGAACGCAAGUUGCGCCCGAUGCCAUUAGGUUGAGGGCACGUCUGCCUGGGUGUCACGU